UACGUAGGGUGCGAGCGUUGUCCGGAAUCAUUGGGCGUAAAGCGCGCGUAGGUGGCCAUUUAAGUCCGCUGUGAAAGUCAGAGGCUCAACCUUUGAAAGCCGGUGGAUACUGUGGGACUAGAGUACGGAAGAGGCGAGUGAAUUCCUGUGUAGCGGUGGAAUGCGCAGAUAUCAGGAGGAACACCAAUAGCGAAGCAGCUCGCUGGACGUUACUGACACUGAGGCGCGAAGCGUGGGGAGCGAACAGG
rnacentral:rRNA from 1 species